UACGGGGGGUGCAAGCGUUGCUCGGAAUUACUGGGCGUAAAGAGCUCGUAGGUGGUUUGUCGCGUUGUUCGUGAAAACCGGGGGCUUAACCCUCGGCGUGCGGGCGAUACGGGCAGACUUGAGUACUGCAGGGGAGACUGGAAUUCCUGGUGUAGCGGUGGAAUGCGCAGAUAUCCGGAAGAACACCGGAGGCGAAGGCGGCUUGCUGGACCUGGUCUGACGCUGAGGCGCGAAAGCGUGGGGAGCGAACAGG
rnacentral:rRNA from 1 species